rnacentral:rRNA from 1 species
CCUACGGGAGGCAGCAGUGAGGAAUAUUGGUCAAUGGGCGCGAGCCUGAACCAGCCAAGUCGCGUGAGGGAAGACGGUCCUAUGGAUUGUAAACCUCUUUUGUCGGGGAGCAAAAGACGCCACGCGUGGCGUUCCGAGAGUACCCGAAGAAAAAGCAUCGGCUAACUCCGUGCCAGCAGCCGCGGUAAUACGGAGGAUGCGAGCGUUAUCCGGAUUUCUUGGGUUUAAAGGGUGCGCAGGCGGAAGAUGAAGUCAGCGGUAAAAUUGAGAGGCUCAACCUCUUCGAGCCGUUGAAACUGGUUUUCUUGAGUGAGUGAGAAGUAUGCGGAAUGCGUGGGGUAGCGGUGAAAUGCAUAGAUAGCACGCAGAACUCCGAUUGCGAAGGCAGCAUACCGGCGCUCAACUGACGCUCAUGCACGAAAGUGUGGGUAUCGAACAGGAUUAGAUACCCCGGUAGUC